rnacentral:rRNA from 1 species
UACGAAGGGGGCUAGCGUUGUUCGGAAUCACUGGGCGUAAAGCGCACGUAGGCGGCUUGCUAAGUCAGGGGUGAAAUCCUGGAGCGCAACUCCAGAACUGCCUCUGAUACUGGUGAUCUUGAGUCCGGGAGAGGUGAGUGGAACUGCGAGUGUAGAGGUGAAAUUCGUAGAUAUUCGCAAGAACACCAGUGGCGAAGGCGGCUCACUGGCCCGGUACUGACGCUGAGGCGCGAAAGCUAGGGGAGCAAACGGG